AGUGGAACUUCUGGGUCAGAUGGGAACUCUAUGUUGAAUCUUUUGAGGAACUUCCAGAAUGUUUUCCAAAGUGGCUGCAUCAUUUUACAUUCCCACCAGCAGU
rnacentral:pre_miRNA from 1 species